GACGAACGCUGGCGGCGUGCUUAACACAUGCAAGUCGAACGGAAAGGCUCCAGCUUGCUGGCGUACUCGAGUGGCGAACGGGUGAGUAACACGUGGGUAAUCUGCCCUGCACUCUGGGAUAAGCCUGGGAAACUGGGUCUAAUACUGGAUAUGACCUUUCUCCUUAUGGGGUUUGGUGGAAAGUUUUUCGGUGUAGGAUGAGCCCGCGGCCUAUCAGCUUGUUGGUGGGGUGAUGGCCUACCAAGGCGACGACGGGUAGCCGGCCUGAGAGGGUGAUCGGCCACAUUGGGACUGAGAUACGGCCCAGACUCCUACGGGAGGCAGCAGUGGGGAAUAUUGCACAAUGGGCGGAAGCCUGAUGCAGCGACGCCGCGUGAGGGAUGACGGCCUUCGGGUUGUAAACCUCUUUCAGCAGGGACGAAGCGUAAGUGACGGUACCUGCAGAAGAAGCACCGGCUAACUACGU
rnacentral:rRNA from 1 species